CUGUGCCCGGCUGCAAGAAUGCUUUUUUUAAAAAAAAUUUCCAUCUGGCAGGACACACAGUAGUCUCUCUCUCAGUUUAGGAGGGUCGUCCUAAGAAUAGGACUCACUCUUAAAGGCACAAGAGGGACCA
rnacentral:snoRNA from 1 species